AGAUGUGCCGGCCUCGUGGCUUGCCUGAUUUGCACGGUGGCUUGAUUACACGCUCGCAUUCACGGUCACUUCCGAAGCGCUUUAGUACCUUCCGUCCCGAAACCGCCAACUGCCCGGGAGGCUUUAUACCCGCGCUUGGUCGGGGAUCCACAGGGCCCCGGAAGGGCAUUCGUCUCACCCGGGAUCCCC
rfam:Echinops telfairi cont1.684960, whole genome shotgun sequence.